UGGAGCUGUGCUUCUGACUACUAUUUUUGGUACCUUAGUUCGCCUAGGCAACAUUUCGGUAGUUAAUUUUCAGACAUGUUUGUAUCGCUUGGUUUCUAGCGCACCUCUUCAAAGGUCAGAGAUAUUUCUCAUUUGCAAUGCUUAUCUCGAAGUCUCCAGCAGCAUUAUGUUUUUUGCACUUUCGUGGUGUCAAAAGCUGCCUGAGAAAAUUGCUUAUCAACAUGAACAUUCUAUCGCAGGAUUCUGCUUGUGUGGAUUUUCCUUUAGUAUAUAUAUUUUUAAAUAGCUAGAAAGUACUGGCUUUCCAUCUUGAAUCUCGUGGCCCCGGAUGCAGGUGCUGGCAUGCAGGUCGUGCAUAUUUUGGUCAUUCAUUAGUAUGUCAUAUUACUACCUCCCACUAAUCAGUUUUAAUCCUUUAAAUAUAACUGUGGCAUUGUGACUGCUAGUCAUUUUCUGAGUGUUAACACCUUUUUCUCAUUACUUUUGUUUUAGUCAAGUUGAAUUUUCAAGAAUUUUUUUAUUGAAGUUCUUUUUUUUUUAUCCACGUUUAACCUGUUUGUGUACAGCUAGAACUUGCAAUGAAUAUUUUCAUACAUGUACCUGGCUGGGUGCCAAUCAUCUUCGAAAUAAAGCUUUGUCAAUUGUAUACAUAAAAAGUAACAUUGAUGUGACAUUGUUAGUCUCACUUGUGUGCUUUGGCUACGGCUUACUGAGCUCACUUUUUGAAAGUGUCUGCGUUCACCCGGUCGACGGAACGCAGGCGUUAGGUUCACCCAAACGUCACGUCCGGGAUGUCGCAUUCAUUCUUUGUUUUUCGCGUCCGUGAUGUCACAUCCGUCUUUGGUUUUGGCGGCAGAAUGGCAAGCUCAAAGGUGGCCAAAGAACGUAAUCGGAAGAGGUGACGAGACGAAUGCGUUCUUCGUAGUUAGGAAAAGAAUUGCCAGUGGCAUCCAGUUGUGUGAGGCGCUGACGACAAGAGAUAGAAGCAGACGCCAAAGAAGUCCCACCCCAAGAUGAGUUCAUGGGUCACUCACGAAAUACCGCAAAAACAAUGUGGUGAAGAAUUUAGUCUAUGGACACACGAACAGUACACGGUGCGAUUGGACGAAUAAUAACGUUGGCUGCUGCACAAAGAGAAAGGCCGGAGUAAGGCAAUUCUUGUGUUUUAUAGAGUCCCGAACAGUCACAUGGCAAUAAUCGCCUAGCAUCUUGUAACAUGGAGCCACCUCAUAAUUGCACCAAACAAAGAUGAUGGAUGCAGCCAGUCUUGCCAGAUAACUACAUUUUGACUAUUCUGUAUUGUUUGCAUUUAUUGUGCAAAAGGAAUUCUCACAGAAAGUUUUAUCUUCAGUGGCCUUCAGUUGACGUCAUCUGCUACAACUAGCACAUAAGUUAACUCCAUAGCACCACUAGGAUGGAGACAUUGUGUCGUGGGAUGCUUCCUUAAAAGUGGGCAAGAAGAUUCUAAAGGAAAAGUGUGAGAUGGUCACAGUAAUAACCAAGGCAUUUGGCAUGGGAAUGACCCAGCUAUGAAGGUAUUAUCAGAUGUGGACAAGCAUAUAAUACUAAAUGGCGCCUUGCACGAGUCCCAAGUGUCAAAUGUAAUGAGUAUUGUGCAUUGAAAGGGCCAAAAAUGUUUUGUACAUGCAAGGGAACACUAUGGGCAUUUGAUAGCAGUUGCUUAGAUGUACUACAUUUAAAGGAACCAAACGAAUUCCCUUAGACAUAAGCAUGCAGCAAAUUCAAGGACUAGAUGAAGCUUCAAAGAAACUGCAUUUCAUGUAGGAUAGGUGUGAAUGACCUUUGUGUAUGAGAUCAGUGAGAAAAACACUAAAUGAAUGCAGUACAGUGUCUGUAUCAUAUCUUGUGCAGACCAAACUAGCCUGGAGUUUCAGCAUUUCUUGUCAGUACAUUUAAAUAGGCACUACAUUGUUCAAAGUGCAAUAUUGUUCUACAAAACAUAAUAUGCAAGAUGUAGCAUGCUAACCCUCGUGGCUCAACAACUACUGAACCGAAACCUCAAUGAGCAGUGAAGCGUCCUUGUAAUUUUCAUCGUAACCAUACUUUUGCUCUUGAAAGUGAACCUCUUUAGUGAAUUUGCUUGUGUAUUAAUUUUUCUUUAGGCAAGUAUUUUUUAUACAUGUUAAUGUCUCAAUCCUGCUUUCUCUUUUCAGAGCUAAAACAAAAUGCCUCUUAUUUCAAUUUGAUCUUUUGACCUAGGAAGCCAUCAUCUGGUGCUGUGUACAGCAAGCACAUGCUUCGGGCAAGGAGGGAGCCAGCACCAUAUCUACAUCAGCAAGAACCUCGGUGCUCAAAAUAAACAUUUUCUGUGCAAA